UACGUAGGUGGCGAGCGUUAUCCGGAAUUAUUGGGCGUAAAGAGAACGCAGGCGGUCUUUUAAGUCUGAUGUGAAAGCCUUCGGCUUAACCGGAGUAGUGCACUGGAAACUGGGAGACUUGAGUGCAGAAGAGGAGUGUGGAACUCCAUGUGUAGCGGUGAAAUGCGUAGAUAUAUGGAAGAACACCAGUGGCGAAAGCGGCUCUCUGGUCUGUAACUGACGCUGAGGUUCGAAAGCGUGGGUAGCAAACAGG
rnacentral:rRNA from 1 species